GCUCAUUAAAUCAGUUAUCGUCUAUUUGAUAGUACCUUACUACUUGGAUAACCGUGGUAAUUCUAGAGCUAAUACAUGCUGAAAACCCCGACUUCGGAAGGGAUGUAUUUAUUAGAUUAAAAACCAAUGCCCUUCGGGGCUCCCUGGUGAUUCAUGAUAACUUCUCGAAUCGCACGGCCUUGCGCCGGCGAUGGUUCAUUCAAAUUUCUGCCCUAUCAACUUUCGACGGCUGGGUCUUGGCCAGCCAUGGUGACAACGGGUAACGGAGGGUUAGGGCUCGACCCCGGAGAAGGAGCCUGAGAAACGGCUACUACAUCCAAGGAAGGCAGCAGGCGCGCAAAUUACCCAAUCCCGACACGGGGAGGUAGUGACAAUAAAUACUGAUACAGGGCUCUUUUGGGUCUUGUAAUUGGAAUGAGUACAAUUUAAUUCCCUUAACGAGGAACAAUUGGAGGGCAAGUCUGGUGCCAGCAGCCGCGGUAAUUCCAGCUCCAAUAGCGUAUAUUAAAGUUGUUGCAGUUAAAAAGCUCGUAGUUGAACCUUGGGCCUGGCUGGCCGGUCCGCCUCACCGCGUGCACUGGUCCGGCCGGGCCUUUCCCUCUGGGGAGCCGCAUGCCCUUCACUGGGCGUGUCGGGGAACCAGGACGUUUACUUUGAAAAAAUUAGAGUGUUCAAAGCAGGCUUAUGCUCGGAUACAUUAGCAUGGAAUAAUAGAAUAGGACGUGCGGUUCUAUUUUGUUGGUUUCUAGGACCGCCGUAAUGAUUAAUAGGGACAGUCGGGGGCAUCAGUAUUCAGUUGUCAGAGGUGAAAUUCUUGGAUUUACUGAAGACUAACUACUGCGAAAGCAUUUGCCAAGGAUGUUUUCAUUAAUCAGGAACGAAAGUUAGGGGAUCGAAGACGAUCAGAUACCGUCGUAGUCUUAACCAUAAACUAUGCCGACUAGGGAUCGGACGGUGUUAU
rnacentral:rRNA from 1 species